AGUAGUACUUUCAUAUUUACUUGUUUGGAUGAAGAAACACCGAGAAAAAAAGAAGAAGCAAAAGGCUGUGAAGAAACAACAACCCUUACCACUGAAACGCGAGAGAUUCAUGUGCAAGAGAAACUAAGGAAAGAGAAGAAGAAGAAGAAGAAGAAGAAGAAGAGCUGAUUGCCAGAAAAGAAAGGGUAAAGGAAGAAAACAAAGGUAUGCAGCAUAGUUGAAGCAAGCAUAUAUUAUCCCUGCAGGCGUUCGUUUUUCCAUACAGGCUACCGGCUUUGUUCAUGCCCUACCUGCCAGCUUCGUUCUUGCUGUUGCAUAUGAUCUCCGACUAAGCUGGGGUUUGACUAGCACGGCGCAUGGCCGAUGGCUUGCUCAUGGAAACGGCAUACCGAUACAGUUUUUGAGACUUCCGAUGGUGGUCGACGGCAACGCCUACGGCCUACUUCUUCCCCCUCCACCUCUACCUCCAGCUCUGAUCUGACGUUGGUUGUGGGUGGAUGAUGGCAUCCGGAUCUAAUCUCUGGCCAUAAACGAUAAAGGAUGAACCUUAGAGUCUCUGCACAAACGUUUGAUCCAUUAGCAGGAACCAGUGACUGGGUAUUCGUAAAAAUGUUUGCCUGGGAGAAUUCUCAUCGUGAAGCGUGCAAAUGGUUGGGAUUUCGAGGAGAGCAUCUUUACAGCAGCGAUCUGACAUUGGUGGUAAACGACUUGUGUUGUAAGAAGUGGAGACAGCUUCAUCAUCAUCAUCCAGGCGGAUGGCGGAUUCCGAUCUCCUGAGGGCUUGAGCCUCCAUGCAGUACAAACGGUGGUGCAAUAUGACGUUAAUAAUAAAUAAGCUUCCAAUUGAUCAAAACUCUGAAGACAGCAAGUCAAGACAUAGAAGCACGAGACAAGGCAAAUGGGAUGGAGGAAGUCCAUCGUUAUGUAAUGAUUACGUGUCCUAUAGCCGGGGAGUAUUUGGUGGCUACUGAACAGAUCUAUUAGGAGCAAUUUGAUGAAUCAUUUGAGGAGCUGGGUUUGUGUCUCAAGGAUGGCUAUAAAGGGUAAACUGGUCCUCUCCCAACUGUCGAAAAUAUAUUGGAAAAGUAAGUUGAAGUGACAUGGAUAUUACAAUUGGAGAAAUUCAUGAGGUGCCUGGUGGAACAACAUAAAGAAAGUUUCCAAGAAGGAGAACGUAAGAAAUGUUUACCAAGUACUUUUCGAUUCCAAUUAUUUAGUCAAUAUCAUUUACUAAUUACUUUCAUAUUUUGUAGGCAAAAAAGAUAGCUGAUGUUUUGCUAUCAAAAAUCUUCGUUGGGCGAGGAUUUAUUGAUAAUGCAAAAGUAACCUCUUUGAAAGAACAAAUCCAAGCACCUGCGAUGGUAUGCCAUGAAAUGAAAUGGCAUAACCCACGAGGACAAGGCAACUAUGCCAUGAACAGUGAUGCGUCCUUGAAGGGUGAAAAUAAGGUGGGUGGACUAAGUGUUAUCGCUAGAAAUGCACAAGGAAUUCCAACAUGGUUGGAAAUGAGCUGGGAAGUAGGCUUCAGAAGUCUUACUUUGGAAGCAUUAGCAAUGUUGAGAGGAACAGAAUUAUCUCUUGCUGAAUGGUGGUACAUUGAUGCGCCCUUGAAAGCAGUGUCCUUGAAAACGAUGUCCUUUAAAGCGUCUUUUAAAGCAUCCUUUAGAACGGACGCAAAGUAUGUAACAGGGAUGAUUAAAGAUAAUACAUAUCUUCCAGACUGCUCGGAUGAAUAUACUAAAGAGUGUAUUUUUCUUAAGAGCGACAUUGAAAGAGAUUGACUGGACAUUUGCAUAUUCUUGCCGUGAAUCAAACAUUGCAGGUGCUGUAAUGUUUGAUUCACGACAAGCAUAUGUAAAUGUCCAGUCAGUCUCUUUCAAUGUCGCUCUUAAGAAAAAUACACACUCUUUAGUAUAUUCAUCCGAGCAGUCUGGAAGAUAUGUAUUAUCUUUAAUCAUCCUUGUUACAUACUUUGCGUCCGUUCUAAAUGAUGCUUUAAAGGACACUUUAAAGGACACCGUUUUCAAGGACACCGCUUUCAAGGACGCAUCAAUGUACCACCAUUCAGCAAGAGAUAAUUCUGUUCCUCUCAACAUUACUAAUGCUUCCAAAGUAAGACUUCCGAAGCCUACUUCCCAGCUCAUUUCCAACCAUGUUGGAAUUCCUUGUGCAUUUCUAGCGAUAACACUUAGUCCACCCACCUUAUUUUCACCCUUCAAGGACGCAUCACUGUUCAUGGCAUAGCUGUCUUGUCCUCGUGGGUUAUGCCAUUUCAUUUCAUGGCAUACCAUCACAUGUGCUGUAUUUAAUUCAAGUAAAACUAAUUAUUAUUCAUGUAUACAUUAAAUUAAGAGUUUUGUGGUUUCAAGCUUACCUUGGAUUUGUUCUUUCAAAGAGGUUACUUUUGCAUUAUCAAUAAAUCCUCGUCCAACGAAGAUUUUUGAUAGCAAAACAUCAGCUAUCCUUUUUGCCUACAAAAUAUGAAAGUAAUUAGUAAAUGAUAUUGACUAAAUAAUUGAAAUCGAAAAGUAAUUGGUAAACAUUUCUUACGUUCUCCUUCUUGGAAACUUUCUUUAUGUUGUUCCACUAGGCACUGAAAAUCAUAAAAUGUAAGCUUUAAAUCAAUAAGUAUUAUAAUAAACUUGUUAGCCCUAUUGAGUUGUAUGUGAGAUAGAAAUUUCCUGAAAGAGGGGCUGUUUUGGCUAUGAAAUUCAAAAGUGAUUGGUAUGAGUUAUGGAUAUGUACUUUGACAAACUCAUUUGUCUUUGUCCAUUUAAUCAUAUGCAUGAAGGAGAUGCAUGUAUUGUGUUGGAAUUUAUGUUGUUAGAGGUUUUUUGAUCUCCUUAUGCAUGUAGCUCGUUUAACAUGUCUUAGGGAAAGUUGUAUGAUAUUGGUGUCAUUGUUCAGGAACUAGUGGUUUUCACUACGGCAUGCAGUCAACAUCCUUACACCACUAAUCGAUUCGAUUCAAGCUGAAAAUUUCAUUGUCAAGAAAGGUUUGAGGGUUUACCUAUCAAAAAAAAGAAAAAAAAGGAAAGGUUUGUGGGUGCAAUCUUCGUUCAUGCUGUAUUUUGGGCUGAAACAGAGUUGAAAGUUACUUGCGAUCACUAAGGACAGCAGUACUCAAUUAUAGUAUAGAGAAUUGGAUUGGAUGUUGAUGCUCAUGUGAUUUCAGUUUAAUCUUACCUUAUUCAAUCGUAUGUAUUUUUUUAGUGGUUUCAUUUUAUUCCCCCAAAACGUUGUUGAGAGGGUUAUGAAACUAAGACCGGUAAACAUUGAUAUAGGAUGUGAAGUUUUUCUAUUAUCUCACCCAUUCAUGUCGAAGACAAUGGUGAGCCUAAAAUUUUAUGUAAUAGGAGAUAUCAAACUUCUACCUAAAUCACUAUGCAUGUUUUCUUGAGCUUAUGUGCUAAAAUAAGGGGUCUAAGUGAAUGAAAAGAUAGGACAGGGAGAGGCCCUAGUGGUGGGAAUGAGUGAAACCUAAAAUGUUUGAAUCUUUUAGUUUAAAUUUUGCAAGGUUUUGAAGACCCUGGUGCCCCAAAAUAAUAAGGGGUUUACUCUGUUAUAUAAGGGGUUUACUCUGUUAUAUAUAAGGGGUUUACUCUUUUAAUUUUUCCUUCUGUCCAAAGUACCACAAAAUGCAAGAGGGAACAAUCUUUCACACAGUAACAACACUCACAGAAUUACCACCAGUUUGUUUUAAAUUCUUUUCUUAACAUUUCAAAGUUUUUAAAUAUAUAUAUAUUUUAAUUAAUAUAAUAAAAAUAACUAACUUGAUCAGUGGGCCUUGAAAAAGAAAAGAUUGUGAUGGGCUGAAUUUUCAAAAAAGUGUAUUAUGGAGUGAUGGACUUCUUUAAGAACUUCAUUCUUAAGGGUAUGGAUAGUAGUUUCAAUAGAAGAGUUAUUCUCAUUGAAAUGAUUUUUUCCCUAGUAAGUGUAUUGUAUCUCAAAAGCACAUGAUUUUAAUUAUGAACAAUGUUUCACCAAAUGAUUUUCAUAUAUGCCGCCACGUAGUUGCCAAUGUUAAACAGGAAGGUUAAAAAAACUAAAAUCAUAAUAUAUCUCCAACCUCAAAUUUUGAAAAAUUAGACACUACAAAAUAAGCAAGAUAAGCUAACCUGUAGUUGCUCCACGCAACGUUGUUUCUUGGACAUUAAUCAACUCAUCAAACGACCAACCAACCUGUAAUUAAAACAUCAACCAAUGAAUUGCAAAAUGAAAGAUAAUCCAAAAGGUCAUUCCUCAUAAAUUAUGCUCGAAGUAUACGCACACUUCACCCAUCAAAAAUAAGCAACGCUCUUAAUAGAUUUUGAGGCCAGGGCGACACACUUUUUCUUUUGUAAGAGGGCGACACACUUGGGUCAUAUUAAUUCUAAAUCAUUCUUAUUGCUUUUUGCACAAAGGACUUGCAAAAUUCACCUUUGUUUAGAGAACUAGUGGGAAGGCAUGUUGUGUUUGAUAGUAAAAAAUAUAUCUAUGUAGUCAAAAAAAUAUAUCUAUGUAAUAAUUAACAUUAAAAACUCAAAUGACAUACAUAAAAAUUAUUUCCCAGCAAAAUUUAAUAUCUAAAUUCUUACAUAUAUAAGUGAUAUGAUAGGAAAACAUCAGAGAAGUGAUUAGAUAUAAUAUACAACAAAAAGAAUUCUAUGUAAGAGUUAAUCUCAAUGGUGCACACAUAUUUUAACUACAAAACCAAGCAUAUGGUUUUGUUCAUAAUCUACUAAUAUAGGAAGACAAAUUAAUACUCAAUAUAGUAAAAAUUUAUGUCUUCUUUAUGCGACAUUUGUUAAUAUCAUGUGCAGCUCCAAAAAAUACCACUUUCCAAACUCAUUCUGAAAACAUAAAUUUAUUCAUUUCCAUUUGGGUGCGUCAUGAACAAGAAAUAUUAAACCUAUGACCUAGUCCUUGGUGAACUUCAAGCUCGAUAAUGAACUCGUGUUCAGAAAAGUAACAUUAUCUGCGAUGCCAUUCUAUUACCAGUAAACUAAAGUUAUGACAACCUCAUAUUUUGGAUAAAAAUAGAUCAACAAAAACAAAACAACUCUCCCAUCAGUUAGAAGGAAAAGGAUUCACACACAUAUUUAACUUAUGAAAUUGAACAACCUUGUUCUCACACAAUUGAGCAAGCAAUCAUUCACCUACUCUACAACAAUUUUUUUGAUAAGUACUACCUAAACGGUAAUUGAGCAACCUUAUUAAGAUGCUUGCAAAACUGAAAAUCUGUAGUUCACCCUAGAGCUUAUGUUAACAAAAAUAUGAAAACAAUUGUUGCUAGAAGAAUAAAUUUGAAUUUAUGAGUACACAAGGGAAAAGUGGAGGGGAUUCGAACUAGUGACCUCUACUUUAUGAGGCAUGGUCCACAACUGAUUGAACUACCCCUUGGAGACUAUUCUCAGUUUGGUAAAUGCAUUCUCUCUCCCUUUUUUGUUUGUUUGAAUAAAUUCAUAAUGCUAUGAAUAUAAAAUGCAGAAUCAUAAAAUAGAGAAGAGACAAAAUAUUUUACGUGGUUCGGUCUAUGACCUACUUCCACAGAUAAAGCCCAAAGGGUUACUCUAUGCUCUUAUUGAAUUGAUUUGGUUACACAUUCUCUCUCCCUUUUAUUCUGUUUGGUUUUGCUUCUAUUUUUGGUAUUUUCGGCAUACUCUGCCUAUCUUUGGCGAGUUUGGUCUGUCUCUGACGAAGGUUCCUAUUUGAUUUUCAACAG